UGGUUGAUUGUUGAUUGAAGACACAGGGC
rnacentral:piRNA from 1 species